rnacentral:rRNA from 1 species
UACGUAGGGGGGCAAGCGUUGUCCGGAAUCAUUGGGCGUAAAGCGCGUGUAGGCGGCCCGAUAAGUCCGCUGUGAAAGUCCAGGGCUCAACCCUGGAAUGCCGGUGGAUACUGUCGGGCUCGAGUCCGGAAGAGGCGAGUGGAAUUCCUGGUGUAGCGGUGAAAUGCGCAGAUAUCAGGAGGAACACCGAUGGCGAAGGCAGCUCGCUGGGACGGUACUGACGCUGAGACGCGAAAGCGUGGGGAGCAAACAGG